GGAGCUAAUCCCUUAAAGCUACUCUCAGUUCGGAUUGUAGGCUGAAACUCGCCUACAUGAAGCUGGAGUUACUAGUAAUCGCAGAUCAGAAUGCUGCGGUGAAUGCGUUCCCGGGUCUUGUACACACCGCCCGUCACACCCCGGGAGUUGGAGACGCCCGAAGCCGAUUAUCUAACCUUUUGGAAGAAGUCGUCGAAGGUGGAAUCAAUAACUGGGGUGAAGUCGUAACAAGGUAGCCGUAUCGGAAGGUGCGGCUGGAUCACCUCCUUUCUAAGGAGA
rnacentral:rRNA from 1 species